GGAAAAAAUAUUGAGAGUUUCUGAUUGGCUAAUAUAUUGAGACAAGGAUUGUACUUUUCCACCGUUGAUAGCAAAAGAUCAAGGGACCAAAUUUUCUCCUUCUUUUUCUCCUUCUUCUUCUUGGUCUCGUUUGUUUCUUCAAGCUUUCUCAUUUUCCAAACCCAAAUCAAUUAACUCUACCAAUGGCUUCUCCUUAAUUCUUUCACCUUCUUCCCAAGAUCUAAAAGCUUUCGCCGUUCACGACCACCACAUCUUGAAGGUUCGGCCGUCGCUCACACCACAUCUGGAAGGUUCGGCCGUCGUUCACCAUAACACAUUUCAAAGGGAUUAAGGGUAUAUUGCUAGAGACGGUGACAGAGGAGAGCGGCAGCGGAGGAGAACGGCGGUGGAACGGUGACAGAGGAGAGCGUUAGCGGAGGAGAAUGGCUGCGAAGGAGAACGGGGUGGAGGAGUACGGCGGAGGGGUGCAGCAGAGGGCAAGCUUUGAAGCUUUUUAAUUUUCUAAUUUUUUUCACUAAUUAAGUUUGUAUUGAUUAAUUGUAAUCAAAAUUAAUAAACAAAUAAUUUUGAUAUUUU